rnacentral:rRNA from 1 species
AUUGAACGCUGGCGGAAUGCUUUACACAUGCAAGUCGAACGAUGAAGCCUAGCUUGCUAGGUCGAUUAGUGGCGAACGGGUGAGUAAUAUAUCGGAACGUAUCCAAUAAUGGGGGAUAACUAGUCGAAAGAUUGGCUAAUACCGCAUACGUCCUACGGGAGAAAGCUGGGGAUCGUAAGACCUGGCGUUAAUGGAGCGGCCGAUAUCUGAUUAGCUAGUUGGUGGGGUAAAGGCUCACCAAGGCGACGAUCAGUAGCUGGUCUGAGAGGACGACCAGCCACACUGGAACGGAGACACGGUCCAGACUCCUACGGGAGGCAGCAGUGGGGAAUUUUGGACAAUGGGCGAAAGCCUGAUCCAGCCAUUCCGCGUGAGUGAAGAAGGCCUUCGGGUUGUAAAGCUCUUUCGCAAGGGAAGAACACUUACUUAAUAACACUAAGUGAGGUUGACGGUACCUUGAUAAGAAGCACCGGCUAACUACGUGCCAGCAGCCGCCGUAA